rnacentral:tRNA from 1 species
AAAAAGAUGGCUGAUAAAGGCUCUAAAUUGUAGAUUUAGUCAUAGAAAUUUCUUCUUUUUG